CAUCAAUGAGUUUGCGGUCUAAAUUUAGUUAGUUUUUUCCAUUGAAAGUUCAAGUCAUUAAAUUAAAUUACUAGUGUAAAAUCAGCUAGUGUUUGAUAAAAACUAGUGAACUUAUCAUAACCUAAAAUCUACUUACAUCCUAAACCUACAGUGAAGUACGGUUUAUAGGAUUCAGUACGGAUAAAUUGUUUGCUAGAUUGCCUGUUACGACGGCCACCGACAAAACGAGACGAUCUCGUGCGACCCGUAAUUUCGAUCGCUUGCAAGUGUAGCACAACGGGACUAAACGUAAGUUACAAAAGAAAAUUACUAAUGGACUAAUAUUAAGAUGCAAACAUGUUCACUAACGUUACAUCCUUCCUGAACCUUUUUCCAGGAAUAUAAUAAUAUAAUUAAUGAACGUAAAUCCCACGUCUUCGGUAGUUCUAAUAUUAUUGUAUUGAAAAUCUCCCUGCGUAAGUUGGCAAAUUC